GAAAUAUUAACUGUUUCAUUUAAAUUUUUUAUAAAAUUUUAUUUUUUAGUCAAAAAGCUAAAAUAAAUUUAAAAGACGAGAAGACCCUAUAAAUCUUUAUAUUUUGUUUAUUUUAAUUAUAAAGACAAUUUUUCUUCUAAUAAAUUAAAAUAUUUUAUUGGGGUGAUAUUAAAAUUUAAAAAACUUUUAAUUUUUAAAACCAUUAAUUUAUGAAUUAUUGAUCCAUUAAUAGUGAUUAAAAAUUUAAGUUACUUUAGGGAUAACAGCGUAAUUUUUUUGGAGAGUUCAUAUCGAUAAAAAAGAUUGCGACCUCGAUGUUGGAUUAAGAUAUAAUUUUGGGUGUAGCCGUUCAAAUUUUAAGUCUGUUCGACUUUUAAAUUCUU
rnacentral:rRNA from 1 species